rnacentral:lncRNA from 10 species
CACAAAGAUAGUAUCAUAAGAGGUGUGGCGUUUUGCCAUUGGAACCUGGGCAUACGGUCAUUUGUCCUGCAGUUUCUCGUGUACUGAAAGGUGGCGUGGAUCCUACAGUUUCUCGUGUACUGAAAAGCGGUGUGGAUCCUACAGCUUCUCUACUGAAAGGUGGCGUGGAUCCUACAGCUUCUCGUGUACGGAAAGGCGGCGUGGAUCCUACAGCUUCUCGUGUACGGAAAGGCGGCGUGGAUCCUACAGCUUCUCGUGUACGGAAAGGCGGUGUGGAUCCUACAGCUUCUCUACUGAAAGGUGGCGUGGAUCCUACAGUUUCUCAUGUACGGAAAGGCGGCGUGGAUCCUCAGCUUCUCGUGUACCGAAAGGCGGCGUGGAGCAGCACAAGGAGCUUGAGCGUUGCAAUGAGAAGUCAUGGCUGUGAAUCCCACCCCAUCACGUUUUGAAUGUUGGGCAAAUUAAUUAAUCGUUUUAUCCACUUACUAGGCGAUGUAUAGUUUGUAUACUUCAUGCCAGUCAUUGUUUUAGACUCUUAAGAUGCAAAGAUAAAUAAGAAAGUUGCUUUGGGCAAAGAGUGAGACCUUUUUCUUAAAAAAACAAAACAAAAGAAUUACCAUGUGAUGAGCACUUCUCCUUCUGGGUGCAUACCCAGUGCUCUGAGCUACAGCGUCUAACGUUCAAGCCAGCUUCUCAAUCGGACCCCAGGAUCCUUUCUAGAGAGAAAUCCUGUCCACGUCGCCCUCCUAGCUGGCACGGCUGCAGGCACCAGUGUCGUGGCAGCGGGAAGGGGAGGACGGGCUUGGUGAAAGGGGACUGGGGCCUCCUCACUCCUGGGGCUGCCAGCUCCCUCACCCUGAAAUCAGACCCACGCCCGCCCU